rnacentral:rRNA from 1 species
UGGUGGCGAGUGGCGAACGGGUGAGUAAUGCGUCGGAACGUACCGAGUAAUGGGGGAUAACGCAGCGAAAGCUGUGCUAAUACCGCAUACGCCCUGAGGGGGAAAGUGGGGGAUCGCAAGACCUCACGUUAUUCGAGCGGCCGACGUCUGAUUAGCUAGUUGGUGGGGUAAUGGCCUACCAAGGCGACGAUCAGUAGCGGGUCUGAGAGGAUGAUCCGCCACACUGGAACUGAGACACGGUCCAGACUCC